rnacentral:rRNA from 1 species
AGUGAACGCUGGCGGUAGGCCUAACACAUGCAAGUCGAACGGCAGCACAGUAAGAGCUUGCUCUUACGGGUGGCGAGUGGCGGACGGGUGAGGAAUACAUCGGAAUCUACUUUUUCGUGGGGGAUAACGUAGGGAAACUUACGCUAAUACCGCAUACGACCUACGGGUGAAAGCAGGGGAUCUUCGGACCUUGCGCGAUUGAAUGAGCCGAUGUCGGAUUAGCUAGUUGGCGGGGUAAAGGCCCACCAAGGCGACGAUCCGCAGCUGGUCGGAGAGGAUGAUCAGCCACCCUGGAACGGAGACACGGUCCAGAGUCCUACGGGAGGCAGCAGUGGGGAAUAUUGGACAAUGGGCGCAAGCCUGAUCCAGCCAUACCGCGUGGGUGAAGAAGGCCUUCGGGUUGUAAAGCCCUUUUGUUGGGAAAGAAAAGCAGCAGGUUAAUACCCCGCUGUUCUGACGGUAACCAAAGAAUAAGCACCGGCUAACUUCGUG